GCAGACCAUGAUCAGUGAGCCCUCCCCACUCUCCCUUUCUCUCUCUCCCCAUCUCCCUAGCUGCAGAGCAUAUUCAGACAGCUCUCCAAUAAGUUCAUCAGUAAUAAAGGUGUGCUAGGGAAUAAAUGAAAUGCCUGGGACAUCAUCGUUAAGUGGCAUCUGAUGCAUAAGCAGUGCCCUAGGAACGGGGUUGCCUGCCUUGGUCUCUAAAGGAUGGGUUCAAAAGGCAAGAGCAGCACACAAGAAGAUAGCUUCAAGCAGGAGAAAAAGCUUGGCCCAGGGCCCAAAGGGGAUACGACCCUUCAGGUUGGCCCUGACCUCUGGGUUGGAUUACCAGUGACACAAUGAACAUUUCAUUAUGAGGCCAUCCCUUGAGCAAACUGACAUGCUGAAAGCUGCCCUAUGGAGAGGCUCAUGUGGCAAGGAACAUGGGGGUGGCUUCUGGCCAACACCCAGUGAGGAACUCAGGCCCUCAGUCAAACAGCCUGCAAGGAACUGAACCCUGCCAAUAACCCCAGGAGCCAUCCCAUGAGGCCGUUACUGCAAACAAGCUGAAAAUCCUGCUUUGUUUCUUUUGGACACAACAUGCUUUCCUUCAGCUUCAGUAGACGAUGAGGCCAGCACCACAUGGGCUAGAUGUACAUGAGAUGUGAGCAACCACACUUCCCCUCUGACGGGGACAGACAGCAUCACAGGACAUGAAGUUCUAAGAGUUUCAGUGACUUGUCUAAGAUUAAACAGCUAUGAAUGGAGAACUGGAGGAAAAUGAGGAUUCCCCAUUAAUGCCAUGAGUUCACUGCAGAGGUCAACACUGGGCAUACACUUCAAUCAUCCAUAAAGGAAAAUGGAGGCCUCAUCAUCUCUCACCUGGGCAACUGCAACAAUGAGCAGCUUGUGUCUGUGCCUGCAUCCAUCCUUCCAUCCUGUUCUCCAGCAGCAGCCAGGGUGGUCUUUCAAAAAUGCAAAGCUGAUAAUGUUACUCCCCUGCUGUAAACCUUCCAGCGGUUUCCUAUUGCCUUCAGAAUAAAAUACGAAUCGUCCGGCCUCCAUCUAUCUCUCCAGGCUCAUCCUCUCUCAAUUUUCCAUAUCCUUCAGGCUGAGCUCUGAAACUUCUCCUGGCAGUUCAAGAGAGCGAUGGAGGGAAUGCUGGGGCACAUCUAAAUAAAGCCCCCAAGUGGGAGUUCCUGCUCAGCUAUGCAUGAGCUCUUUGUGACUUCAUCUCCCAGCCUACAACUUGUGAAAUAAGCACGACUUCACUCAGAGCACAGCCAGAAACAUACAAACUUUCCAAAAAUAUUUGAAUGUUGACAGCAGACUGUCUUGCAUUCCAGUGAAUAAUUGGUUUGUAUGAGUGUGUGUGUGAC
rnacentral:lncRNA from 1 species